rnacentral:tRNA from 1 species
GCUUUUGGUUCAGUGGUAGUGCUCGCCUGCCACGCGGGCGCCCCGGGUUCGAUUCCCGGCCGAUGCA